rnacentral:rRNA from 1 species
ACUUUAGUGUUGUUGGGUAGGGGAGCGUUCUGUAAGCCGUUGAAGGUGUCCUGUGAGGGGUGCUGGAGGUAUCAGAAGUGCGAAUGCUGACAUAAGUAACGAUAAAGCGGGUGAAAAGCCCGCUCGCCGGAAGACCAAGGGUUCCUGUCCAACGUUAAUCGGGGCAGGGUGAGUCGACCCCUAAGGCGAGGCCGAAAGGCGUAGUCGAUGGGAAACGGGUUAAUAUUCCCGUACUUGGUGUUACUGCGAAGGGGGGACGGAGAAGGCUAUGUUGGCCGGGCGACGGUUGUCCCGGUUUAAGCGUGUAGGCUGGUUUUCCAGGCAAAUCCGGAAAAUCAAGGCUGAGGCGUGAUGACGAGGCACCACGGUGCUGAAGCAACAAAUGCCCUGCUUCCAGGAAAAGCCUCUAAGCAUCAGGUAACAUCAAAUCGUACCCCAAACCGACACAGGUGGUCAGGUAGAGAAUACCAAGGCGCUUGAGAGAACUCGGGUGAAGGAACUAGGCAAAAUGGUGCCGUAACUUCGGGAGAAGGCACGCUGACACGUAGGUGAAGUGAUUUACUCAUGGAGCUGAAGUCAGUCGAAGAUACCAGCUGGCUGCAACUGUUUAUUAAAAACACAGCACUGUGCAAACACGAAAGUGGACGUAUACGGUGUGACGCCUGCCCGGUGCCGGAAGGUUAAUUGAUGGGGUCAGCGCAAGCGAAGCUCCUGAUCGAAGCCCCGGUAAACGGCGGCCGUAACUAUAACGGUCCUAAGGUAGCGAAAUUCCUUGUCGGGUAAGUUCCGACCUGCACGAAUGGCGUAAUGAUGGCCAGGCUGUCUCCACCCGAGACUCAGUGAAAUUGAACUCGCUGUGAAGAUGCAGUGUACCCGCGGCAAGACGGAAAGACCCCGUGAACCUUUACUAUAGCUUGACACUGAACAUUGAGCCUUGAUGUGUAGGAUAGGUGGGAGGCUUUGAAGCGUGGACGCCAGUCUGCGUGGAGCCGACCUUGAAAUACCACCCUUUAAUGUUUGAUGUUCUAACGUGGACCCGUAAUCCGGGUUGCGGACAGUGUCUGGUGGGUAGUUUGACUGGGGCGGUCUCCUCCUAAAGAGUAACGGAGGAGCACGAAGGUUGGCUAAUCCUGGUCGGACAUCAGGAGGUUAGUGCAAUGGCAUAAGCCAGCUUGACUGCGAGCGUGACGGCGCGAGCAGGUGCGAAAGCAGGUCAUAGUGAUCCGGUGGUUCUGAAUGGAAGGGCCAUCGCUCAACGGAUAAAAGGUACUCCGGGGAUAACAGGCUGAUACCGCCCAAGAGUUCAUAUCGACGGCGGUGUUUGGCACCUCGAUGUCGGCUCAUCACAUCCUGGGGCUGAAGUAGGUCCCAAGGGUAUGGCUGUUCGCCAUUUAAAGUGGUACGCGAGCUGGGUUUAGAACGUCGUGAGACAGUUCGGUCCCUAUCUGCCGUGGGCGCUGGAAGACUGAGGGGGGCUGCUCCUAGUACGAGAGGACCGGAGUGGACGCAUCACUGGUGUUCGGGUUGUCAUGCCAAUGGCACUGCCCGGUAGCUAAAUGCGGAAAAGAUAAGUGCUGAAAGCAUCUAAGCACGAAACUUGCCCCGAGAUGAGUCUUCCCUGAGACUUUGAGUCUCCUGAAGGAACGUUAAAGACGAUGACGUUGAUAGGCCGGGUGUGUAAGCGCAGCGAUGCGUUGAGCUAACCGGUACUAAUGAACCGUGAGGCUUAACCUUACAACGCCGAAGGUGUUU